GGAGAUUUUCCUUCCAUAAUAGUCAAGGCUUGGGAAGAUACAAGUUGUGCAGCUUGCUGUUCUUCCUCAUAAGAGUGCUGUGAUCGGGGAGGCAAAAGGACUUGCUUUCUUGCAUUUGAUGGUUCUUGAGUUUCAUGGAUUUCCGCUUGAAGAGGAGUCUCCGAUUCAUAAGGAAUUUCCUUGCAAGCUGAGGCAUAGUGGCCAAUUCUACCACAAGAGUAGCAAUAGUGUGCUUCACCUCAAGAACUUCGCCGAUCCUUGAAGCAAUUUCUCUAACUACCUCUGUCGUAACUCUGCCAAAGGGGAGGCCAAAUAGAUGCACCCAAAAUGGGCAUUGGGAGAAAUCAUAGCAAAUAUCGGGAAUAUCCGGGUCACACUGUUGAAGCACAAGGAGGUUACUGAAAAAGA